rnacentral:pre_miRNA from 1 species
CUAUUACUCCCUCCGUUCGGAAUUACUUGUCUCGGAAAUGGAUGUAUCUAGAACUAAAAUAUGUCUAAAUACAUCCAUUUCUGCGACAAGUAAUUCCGAAUGGAGGGAGUACCUA